rnacentral:rRNA from 1 species
CCUACGGGUGGCAGCAGUGAGGAAUAUUGGUCAAUGGCCGGAAGGCUGAACCAGCCAUGCCGCGUGAAGGUCAGUGCCCUAAGGGCGUUAAACUUCUUUUGUGCGAGAGCAAUAAUGGUCACGUGUGGCCAGACGAGAGUACCGUAAUAAUUAGCAUCGGCGAACUACGUUCCAGCCGCCGCGGUAAUACGGGGGAUGCAAGAGUUUACCGGAGUUAUUGGGUUUAAAGGGUGCGUAGGCUGUGAGGUAAGUCAGCUGUGAAAUGCCCCCGCUCAACGGGGUGAAGUGCCAUUGAUACUGUCUUGCUGGAAUGCGGAUGCCGUGGGAGGAAUGUGUGGUGUAGCGGUGAAAUGCAUAGAUAUCACACAGAACACCGAUUGCGAAGGCAUCUCACGAAUCCGCGAUUGACGCUGAUGCACGAAAGCGUGGGUAUCAAACAGGAUUAGAUACCCUUGUAGUC